rnacentral:rRNA from 1 species
UACGUAGGGGGCAAGCGUUGUCCGGAAUCAUUGGGCGUAAAGAGCGCGUAGGCGGUCCGGUAAGUCCGCUGUGAAAGUCAAGGGCUCAACCCUUGAAUGCCGGUGGAUACUGUCGGGCUAGAGUCCGGAAGAGGCGAGUGGAAUUCCUGGUGUAGCGGUGAAAUGCGCAGAGUAUCAAGGAGGAACACCAAUGGCGAAGGCAGCUCCGCUGGGA